rnacentral:misc_RNA from 1 species
AAGUCGUAACAAGGUUUCCGUAGGUGAACCUGCGGAAGGAUCAUUAAAGAGUUAGGGUCCCACUCGGGCCCGAACCUCCAACCCUUUGUUGUCGAACAAAAAUCUGUUGCUUUGGCGGGACCGCCCCUGCCUCCCCCCCUUCACCGGGAGGGUGGCCGCGGGCUGUCGGGCCCCUCACCGGGCCGGGCAUGCGCCCGCCAGAGUCAAACUCCAACUCUUCUCUUUAAACAGUACAGUCUGAGUUAAACUUGAUAAAUAAAUCAAAACUUUCAACAACGGAUCUCUUGGUUCUG